rnacentral:rRNA from 1 species
AUUGAACGCUGGCGGCAGGCUUAACACAUGCAAGUCGAGCGGUAGCACAGGGGAGCUUGCUCCCUGGGUGACGAGCGGCGGACGGGUGAGUCAUGUCUGGGAAACUGCCUGAUGGAGGGGGAUAACUACUGGAAACGGUAGCUAAUACCGCAUAACGUCGCAAGACCAAAGAGGGGGACCUUCGGGCCUCUUGCCAUCAGAUGUGCCCAGAUGGGAUUAGCUAGUAGGUGGGGUAAUGGCUCACCUAGGCGACGAUCCCUAGCUGGUCUGAGAGGAUGACCAGCCACACUGGAACUGAGACACGGUCCAGACUCCUACGGGAGGCAGCAGUGGGGAAUAGUGCGCAAUGGGCGCAAGCCUGAUGCAGCCAUGCCGCGUGUGUGAAGAAGGCCUUCGGGUUGUAAAGCACUUUCAGCGAGGAGGAAGGUGGUGAGCUUAAUACGUUCAUCAAUUGACGUUACUCGCAGAAGAAGCACCGGCUAACUCCGUG